AGCGAACGCUGGCGGCAGGCCUAACACAUGCAAGUCGAACGAAGUCUUCGGACUUAGUGGCGGACGGGUGAGUAACACGUGGGAACGUGCCUUUAGGUUCGGAAUAACUCAGGGAAACUUGUGCUAAUACCGAAUGUGCCCUUCGGGGGAAAGAUUUAUCGCCUUUAGAGCGGCCCGCGUCUGAUUAGCUAGUUGGUGAGGUAAAGGCUCGCCAAGGCUACGAUCAGUAGCUGGGCUGAGAGGAUGACCAGCCACAUUGGGACUGAGACACGGCCCAAACUCCUACGGGAGGCAGCAGUGGGGAAUCUUGCGCAAUGGGCGAAAGCCUGACGCAGCCAUGCCGCGUGGAUGAUGAAGGUCUUAGGAUUGUAAAAUCCUUUCACCGGUGAAGAUAAUGACUGUAGCCGGAGAAGAAGCCCCGGCUAACUUCGUGCCAGCCGCCGCGGUAAGAC
rnacentral:rRNA from 1 species